rnacentral:lncRNA from 1 species
GAUCUUCAAGCCAGGGUGAGCCCUACCAGUCUUUGACUCUCCACUUCUUCCUCCAAUCUAGACACCCUGGAUGUGAAUGGUAGAGUUCAUGGGAAGAGCAAUCACUAGCCAGAAAACACUUAUGGACUCUUUGAAGAUCACCUUCUACUACAGGAAAUUUCUAGUACAUCAGGAUUCUCCAUCUGGUCUCUGGUCAUUGGUCCAAGAAGGUCACCCUACAUCCCUAU